rnacentral:rRNA from 1 species
GAUGAACGCUGGCGGCGUGCCUAAUACAUGCAAGUCGAGCGAACGGACGAGGAGCUUGCUUCUCUGAGGUUAGCGGCGGACGGGUGAGUAACACGUGGAUAACCUACCUAUAAGACUGGGAUAACUUCGGGAAACCGGAGCUAAUACCGGAUAAUAUUUUGAACCGCAUGGUUCAAAAGUUAAAGACGGUCUUGCUGUCACUUAUAGAUGGAUCCGCGCUUCAUUAGCUAGUUGGUAAGGUAACGGCUUAACAAGGCAACGAUGCAUAGCCGACCCGAGAGGGUGAUCGCCCACACUGGAACGGAGGAACGGUCCCGACACCUACGGGGAGAAACAGCCGGGAAUCUUACGCAAGGGGGCAAAGCCUGACAGGGGAAAACCGGGGGAGGGCUGAACGUCUUCGGCCCCUAAAACUAUGUUAUUAGGGGAGAACAAAUGUUUUAGUAACUGUGCACAUCUUGACGGUACCUAAACAAAAAGCCACGGCUAACUCCGUG